UACGUAGGGUGCAAGCGUUGUCCGGAAUCAUUGGGCUUAAAGCGCGCGUAGGUGGUCAUGUAAGUCCGCUGUGAAAGUCAAAGGCUUAACCUUUGAAAGCCGGUGGAUACUGCAUGACUAGAGUACGGAAGAGGCGAGUGGAAUUCCUGGUGUAGCGGUGGAAUGCGCAGAUAUCAGGAGGAACACCAAUAGCGAAGGCAGCUCGCUGGGACGUUUACUGACACUGAGGCGCGAAAGCGUGGGGGAGCGAACAGG
rnacentral:rRNA from 1 species